rnacentral:lncRNA from 1 species
UGGGUGUACUAAGAUCAAAUCUCAUAGACUAUUCCAAGGGAUACAUUUACCAUCUCCCUUUUGCUUGGUUCGGGCUGCAACCCAUUGUUCACUCAUCCCCGUGAUGUUCAUUAGUUUAUUUAGGAAGGUCGAGACAUUGUUGGCUCUAGAAUAAACCUUGUCAGGUCAAAUUUUUAGGGAACAAAGUAAGGUCGUGUAUUCUUCCACAGUAGGUACCAAAUCCACUUUUUCAAAAGUAAAGCAGCUGUAGGCGGGAUUCUAAAAUUGAGUUAGAGCUCGAAGCAAGUGCUUGUCCACUUUGAUGUCGAGUAGAUAGGGCAAAUUACCAUAAUUACAAUAAAAUAGCUUCUUGAUUUCAUCAUCCCAUUGGACUCAUAUCUCUUUCAAUUCUUGGAGAUUAUUUUAGAUCAUGCUGAUACGAGUGAAGUCCCACAAUUCUGAUACGUAACCCUUCGUCAGACUAUCACCUUUCUUCACUCGCAUUUUCUCGGACCAUAUUCAGACAGCCGCAUUAUCUUUCACUUUAUCAAAAAAUCUAUUCUUCAUGAUAAGCUCUCUAUUUAGUAACUGAAUGUGAAUCAACACCUUUUUUAUGAUGAAAAUGUCAUGAUAUCACAGUCAAAGUAAAACAAAACAAGUCAGUACAUUAUACAAAGCUAAAGUAAGUAAGGAAUAAUAAAGAAAUCACCUAUUUGGGUGACCACUAGAGGUUUGGUGUGGUUCUACCUAGGGUAGGCUCUUAGUGCUUACUAUAUGUGGUUUGGUUCUAAAGUAAGGGUACCUGAACCGGCAAAUUCCUCGAUCCUCACCAUUAUAGGCUCAUACGAACCGAUUUGAGUUCAGGAGAAUACAUUUCCCUAUGGCUAUACGGAGAUGAAAAUCUCAAGAAGACAUAGGUACGGAUGUAUCCCGAAAGCGAUCCGCUAUCCUAUAUGGAGGUGAAGACCUCACGAAGGAAUAGUUUCUUACUCCCACUUAAAGGGUAAAAUCGACUGAUUAUGCGAUGCAAUAUGCGGAGAUUAAAAGACUCGAACCAAUAAGGCAAACAUAUCAAAAUGAUGCAGACCAUACAAAUGAAAUAUAACGAAAGGAUCGUAAAUUUAACCCAAAUUAUCAAUUUUCGACAAAAGGACAAAAACUAAUCAACUCGUGGCUUGACUCUCUUAUUUUGGUUCCCAGUGAAGUUGCCAAGCUGUCGAAACCAUUUUUUUUGUAAAAGGGGUCGACUUUUUAUUUAAAAACAAAAAAAGAGAGUCACUACCGAUCAUUUUUAUAAGGUGUGAUCAGGUCACCUUGUAAUGGUUUAAUUUAUUAAAACAAAAAUUUUGGUCUACAAAAUUCAGAAAAAUGGGUUCGGGAGUCGGUUACGUACAAGGAAGGAUUAGCACUCUCGUAACACAUAAAAUUGGUACCUAAUUGAUUAAUUAAUGUCUUAAUGUCGAAAAUUAAAAACUCGAAAGAACUUAAAAUACAAUCCCUCUUUAUUAAUGUUAUUUUUAGUUAAAAUCACUUGGAUAAAUCAAAACGUGCGUUUAAGACUUUCUCGUCCCGAAGUAGCAAAAUAUCACGUCCCAUAAGUUAGGACACAACACCUUGAACCUUUGAGAAUGAGUUUGCCUUUAUUUUUUUUCUAUUUUAAAUCUUAUUAUUAAAAGGAUAUUCAGUUAUUUGAGUUCAACGAGCGAAUCGAAACCCCGUGAGUUAGGGUACAAUUUUUCGAAGCUCUAAACACAGAAUAUUGACUUUAUCUCCAAAAGUUUUUGAAUAAAUACACAUGUAAUGUUUAAAACUAUGCAUAUUUAUUUUAUUUGGAUUAUAGUGUAAAGAAUGAAUAUUUAAACACGGCUCGCGACAUGAUUGGAAAAAUAAUAGAAUGAUAACGCAAAUAAUCGAAAUGACGAUAUAUCUAUAAUAAUGAGAUAACAAAUAAGCAAUGGCAGUAAUCAAUUAAAUCUAAUGUUAAUUAAACAAUAAAAAUAAUAAUAAUAAUAAAAGAAAGUGGAAUAUGCAUGAUUAAAAAGAUAAAUAUGUAUGACAUGAAAGUACUAAAAAUAAUAAAAGAAAUAAUAAAAUAACAAGAACAAAAGAAUAAAAAUAAAAAAAUAAUGACAAUAAUAAUAAAUAAAUAUGUACAAAUAAAAGAAUGUAUACAAUCUAAUUUUUAAGUAUAUAUAAAAAUAAAGAAGUAAUAAAUAAAUGAAUAAAUAAUAAAAAAAAGUUUGUAAAAAGGUUGAAGUUAAAUGAACAAGGAUUACAUUGAAAUUUAAAUGAAAUUUGGUAUAAAAAUUGUAAAUAAUAAAAACUAAACUAAUAAAACAGAAUAAAAGACCAAAAUGACAUGCGGGAAAAAAAACAGGGAUUAAAUGGGAAAUUAUCCCAAAGCUCCAAGACACGCGUCAUUCCUCGGAGGGUCAGCAUAUGAAGGACUAAAUCGAAAACAAAUUAAAAUUAAGUGAUAAAAUAAAAAAAGAAUAGGACGGUAUUGAAAACCACCUAAAAAACGAAAGGACUAGGGUAGCAAUUAUUCCCUAGUCACAAAAACACGCGGAUCCUGAGGUACUCGGGUCGGGUUUCAGAGGCCUGCCCCAAACGACGUUGCUUAGGGGGUUUAUAAAUAUAAAAAAAACAUUUAGACCUUGUUUUAAAAAAAAACAAAAAAAGCCUUCUUUUUCUCUGUUCUCUCUCUAAGGUAGACCCAGAAUCUGGCUGUUGGAGUUGCCGGGCUUCGCCGUGACGACCGUCGGUCGUCGACAAUUGUGCCAUCGUACACGGUGGCUGAAAAAAGUCUUGUAUCGCCCUUUUUACCCUUAACCCCGAUUUAGGACCAAAAUGCCCGAAACACCCUCCAAAACUCAGAAAAAAAUAAAGAAAACCCUUUGGUUCCGUCUUCAGAGAUCACAACAAAGGUAAAAAAAAUAAACUUGUGCUUUUGAGUUUAUAUGUGUAUAUAUGUUAUAUUUAAAAUAAAUCUACAAAAAAUGACGAAAUUAUACCUCUGUUUAAAAACUAUGGUAUUUUUUUUAUUUCUUUCUCUUUCGAUUUGCUCUUCUUCUUUUUUUUUGUGUCUAUUUCUCUGUAAAAUUACAAUAUAUUUUCGUGGCCUUUAUAGCCAUUGAUACACUAUUUCGCUUUUGGUUUAUUACUGUUUCUUUGCUAUCGUUUCUGUCCUCUUUUUCUUGCCUUACUUGUAGGUGUUAGCGAAGUCAACGGAGGCGUAGACUUUGGCUUUUUUGCCAUUUUGGUGCAAUGGCGGCAGAGGGGGGUCUCAAGACGAGGCGCGAGCAGUGCGCCCGAAGGAGGGGCGCUGCACACAUGGGGGCAUUAGGGUUUAGGUUUUUUCUGAAUUAGUUUAGGUUCUUGGGCUAUGGUUGAUUUGGUUUUGGGCCAUAUUGGGCCAUUGGAAAUUUGGUUUAGUAGUUUAAUUUUUUGUAAUUGGACUGUGGACAUUGGGCUUUGGUUGUUAUUUUGGUUUGGUUUGCUUGUCUAGAUUGGGCCCGGGCAAAUUUGGUCCUGUACAAAUACAUCUGGAUAUUCACACACAACUGGCACAGAUUCAAUCUUCUUUUAAGUCACUUUUGUAUCAACAACAUAUGCAAAGUAAGUUUCAU